CCCUUAGAUGUUCUGGGCUGCACGCGCGCUACAAUGAUGCAUUCAACGAGCAUAGCUGCCUCGAAAGAAAGCGGCGAAUCUUUUGAAACUGCAUCGUGACGGGGAUAGAUGAUUGUAAUUAUUCACCUUCAACGAGGAAUUCCUAGUAAGUGCAAGUCAUCAACUUGCGCUGAUUACGUCCCUGCCCUUUGUACACACCGCCCGUCGCUCCUACCGAUUGAGUGAUCCGGUGAGCUAUUCGGACUGUAUGCUUGUCACUUUGGCUUGCGUAUGGGAAGUUUCGCGAACCUUAUCACUUAGAGGAAGGAGAAGUCGUAACA
rnacentral:rRNA from 1 species